rnacentral:rRNA from 1 species
UACGUAGGGACCAAGCGUUGUUCGGAUUUACUGGGCGUAAAGGGCGCGUAGGCGGCAAUUCAAGUCAUCUGUGAAAUCUCCGGGCUUAACUCGGAACGGUCAGGUGAUACUGCUUUGCUAGAGUGCGGAAGGGGCAAUCGGAAUUCUUGGUGUAGCGGUGAAAUGCGUAGAUAUCAAGAGGAACACCGGAGGUGAAGACGGGUUGCUGGGCCGACACUGACGCUGACAGCGCGAAAGCCAGGGGAGCAAACGGG